rnacentral:rRNA from 1 species
UACGUAGGGUGCAAGCGUUAAUCGGAAUUACUGGGCGUAAAGCGUGCGCAGGCGGUUUUGUAAGUCAGAUGUGAAAUCCCCGGGCUUAACCUGGGAACUGCGUUUGAAACUACAAGGCUAGAGUGUGACAGGAGGGGGGUGGAAUUCCGACGUGUAGCAGUGAAAUGCGUAGAGAUGUGGAGGAACACCGAUGGCGAAGGCAGCCCCCUGGGAUAACACUGACGCUCGAUGCACGAAAGCGUGGGGAGCAAACAGG